AGCCUCCCAAAGUGCUAGGAUUACAGGCGUGAGCUACCGGGCCCGGCCCCUGGCAUUGGAUUUAAAUCCUGGCACAACAACUUCCUAGCUGUAUAACCUUGGCUCCAGUAUUUUUCUUACAGCUACCUUGGAUUUUGAUGCCUAAGAACAUUCUCUGACAGGUUGGAAAUAAAAUUAAAUAAAGGACUGAUUUUCAAAUAAUGUGGUAAGUGAACUGAAUAAAUGCAUUUUUAUGUUCGUACUACCAUUAUGCUAUAAAAACCUUAAUAACCAGCUGAAUCUCUUUCUUGCAAAUAGGGCAUGAAGCCCCAGCCUUCUUUAGUCUUCUGGCACAGUGAAAACAAGUGACAAGAUGGCCUGUCCUUCCAUGAAUAAUGUUCCCGUCUCGCGGUCUUUUCUCACAUAAGCUACAUGGCUUCAAGAGAUUCUGGCAAUCCUCCAUGUUUUCUGUAUCUGUUCUCUGUUCAGAAAGGUUAUCUAACUGUUCUCCCAUGCUUGAGAUGGUCUCUUGGCUUUCAGAACUGUGAGCCAAAUCCAAGAAUUCCACUGAGUUGCAGGGAUCAAAAAGUUUGGAGUUUUCUUUCUUUAUAUACACAUCUUUAGGUCUAACGACAGGAGCCGAAAUGGUUCUUCGACAAUCAGGGACAUCAUUUCCUUCAUUUUCCUUUUCAGGUAUGGCAGUGAUAUCAGACGUGGAGAGAGAAUGGGUUAACUUUGAACAAUCUGAAUACCAAUCCUUCCUCAAGGCCCAACAACGAAAACAGUACCUCUUGCUUGGAGAGUUAAAUUUCUUGCAUUCAGUACACUGCCA
rnacentral:lncRNA from 1 species